GACGAACGCUGGCGGCGUGCUUAACACAUGCAAGUCGAACGGUGAAGCGCCUUCCUUUUUGGUGGGUGUGGAUGAGUGGCGAACGGGUGAGUAACACGUGAGUAACCUGCCCCCUUCUUCUGGAUAACCGCAUGAAAGUGUGGCUAAUACGGGAUAUUCUGGGUCUGUCGCAUGAUGGGUCUGGGAAAGAUAUUGUUUCGGUGGGGGAUGGGCUCGCGGCCUAUCAGCUUGUUGGUGGGGUGAUGGCCUACCAAGGCGGUGACGGGUAGCCGGCCUGAGAGGGUGGACGGGCACACUGGGACUGAGACACGGCCCAGACUGCUACGGGAGGCAGCAGUGGGGAAUAUUGCACAAUGGGCGCAAGCCUGAUGCAGCGACGCCGCGUGAGGGAUGGAGGCCUGCGGGUUGUGAACCUCUUUCGCCAGUGAAGCAGGCCUGCCUCGUUUGUGGGUGGGUUGACAGUAGCUGGAUAAGAAGCGCCGGCUAACUACGUG
rnacentral:rRNA from 1 species